rnacentral:rRNA from 1 species
AUUGAACGCUGGCGGCAUGCCUUACGCAUGCAAGUCGAACGGUAACGGGCCUUCGGGUGCCGACGAGUGGCGAACGGGUGAGUAAAGUAUCGGAACGUACCUUUCAGUGGGGGAUAACGUAGCGAAAGUUACGCUAAUACCGCAUAUUCUGUGAGCAGGAAAGCAGGGGAUCGCAAGACCUUGCGCUGAUUGAGCGGCCGAUAGUAGAUUGGCUAGUUGGUGAGGUAAAGGCUCACCAAGGCGAAGAUCUGUAGCGGGUCUGAGAGGAUGAUCCGCCACUCUGGAUCUGAGACACGGUCCAGACUCCUACGUGGGGCAGCAGUGGGGAAUUUGGUACAAUGGGGCCACCCCUGGUCCAGCCAUGCCGCGUGAGUGAAGAAGUCCUUCGGGUUGUAAAGCUCUUUCGGCCGGGAAGAAAUCGUAUCAGCUAAUACCUGGUGCGGAUGACGGUACCGGCAUAAGAAGCACCGGCUAACUACGUGCCAGCCGCCGCCGUAAAAC